rnacentral:rRNA from 1 species
UCGAACGGUCGGUAGCAAUACCGAUAGUGGCGCACGGGUGCGUAACGCGUAACCAACCUACCCUUGACUGGGGGAUAGCCCGCCGAAAGGCGGAUUAAUACCGCAUAAAACUGCAGAACGGCAUCGUUUAACAGUUAAAGAUUUAUUGGUCAAGGAUGGGGUUGCGUGCCAUUAGCUAGUUGGGGGGGUAACGGCCCACCAAGGCGACGAUGGCUAGGGGAGCUGAGAGGCUGGUCCCCCACACGGGCACUGAGAUACGGGCCCGACUCCUACGGGAGGCAGCAGUAGGGAAUAUUGGGCAAUGGCCGAGAGGCUGACCCAGCCAUGCCGCGUGCAGGAUGAAGGCUUUCUGAGUCGUAAACUGCUUUUACCAGGGAAGAAAAAAGGGGAUGCGUCCCCUACUGACGGUACCUGGUGAAUAAGCACCGGCUAACUCCGUGCCAGCAGCCGCGGUAAUACGGAGGGUGCAAGCGUUGUCCGGAUUUAUUGGGUUUAAAGGGUGCGUAGGCGGCCGAUUAAGUCUGGGGUGAAAGCCCGUUGCUCAACAACGGAACUGCCCCGGAAACUGGUUGGCUUGAGUACAGACGAGGGUGGCGGAAUGGACGGUGUAGCGGUGAAAUGCAUAGAUACCGUCCAGAACCCCGAUUGCGAAGGCAGCUGCCUAGACUGUAACUGACGCUGAGGCACGAAAGCGUGGGGAGCGAACAGGAUUAGAUA